CCCCUAAUUCAUUGGGACCAAAACUCCCAAAAUCAAUCCAAACCUUCCUUUUGUGGUCAUAAACCUUUUGUUAAAAUUUCAUAGAUUUCUAUUAACUUAUACUAAAGUAAUUGUGCAAAAACCAAGAAAAAUGCUUAUUUGGGACCUGUUUUUGGCCCCUAAUUCCUAAACUGUUGAAACUAAAACUCCUGAAAUCAGUCCCAACCUUCCUU
rnacentral:lncRNA from 1 species